rnacentral:misc_RNA from 1 species
AAAUGCGAUAAGUAAUGUGCAUUGCAGAAUUCAGUGAAUCAUCGAAUCUUUGAACGCACCUUGCGCUCCUUGGUAUUCCUUGGAGCAUGCCUGUUUGAGUAUCAUGAAAUCUUCAAAGUAAAUCUUUUGUUAACUCAAUUGGUUUCUACUUUGGUAUUGGAGGUCUUUGCAGCUUCACACCUGCUCCUCUUUGUUCAUUAGCUGGAUCUCAGUGUUAUGCUUGGUUCCACUCGGCGUGAUAAGUUAUCUAUCGCUGAGGACACUGUAAAAGGUGGCCAAGGUAAAUACAGAUGAACCGCUUCUAAUAGUCCAUUGACUUGGACAAUACUUUUAUGAUCUGAUCUCAAAUCAGGUAGGACUACCCGCUGAACUUAAGC